ensembl:lncRNA
CUUUGCAUGAGUUGUUGUAAUAACAUUUUAUAAUAGUCUGCCAGGUGAAACUUUAAACUCUAAAUUCUUUCCCUCUAGAGUCUCGGAGUAACAGUCCCAGGCCUGGGCAUGCAGAGGAUGUGCAGGAGAGCUGCAAACUCAACUCCAACAGCCCCUGAAACAAGCUUGGCAACAUAAAGGCAUAAAUCCCUCUUCCACUGAGCAAAGAAAUUAUGUCAUGACUCAUGUUUACCCCGUGUAAUAGCAAAUGAAGGAAACUCCAUCCUCUCCUUCACAUACUGUGAUCGGAUCUGUGACUCCAACAAGACCAUCAUACAAAUGUACUGGAAAGAAGAAUCUAGGCUCUGCUGCAGUAAGAACCCAAGACUUCAGAUGGAUGGUUCAGGGAUCUGAAAAGGUCUUUUGUGUGCUCUGCAUGCUGGUAUCAGGAAAAGCUUUUUUUUUUUUGCUCUUUUUUACUUUG